rnacentral:misc_RNA from 1 species
AAAGCAGCAUGCUGGUAGUGUCUGAGUUCAUUGGCUGUUCUCCUUCUCUAAGUGGUGCUAUACGUGUGAACCCAUGGAAUGUGGAAGCAACUGCAGAAGCACUGAAUGAGGCAAUUUCAAUGGCUGAUGGUGAGAAGGUGUUGCGCCAUGAGAAGCAUUACAAGUAUGUAAGCACACAUGACGUAGCUUAUUGGUCAAGAAGCUUCUUCCAGGAUCUGGAGAGAAGUUGCAGAGACCAUUUCAGGCGACGUUGCUGGGGUAUAGGCUUGAGCUUCGGUUUUAGGGUUGUAGCACUUGAUCCUAAUUUUAAAAAGCUAUCCAUUGACACUAUUGUUUCUGCUUACUCAAGAGCCAAAAAUCGGGCAAUAUUGUUGGAUUAUGAUGGCACUCUCAUGCCUCAAACAGCCAUCAAUAAGGUCCCUAGUCCCGAAGUUAUUUCAAUUAUUAACUCACUUUGUGGGGAUGAAAGAAAUACCGUGUUUCUUGUGAGUGGACGAGGAAGGGAUAGUUUAGGCCAGUGGUUUUCUCCGUGUGAGAAACUUGGUAUUGCUGCGGAACACGGAUACUUCUUAAGGUGGUCUGCAGAUAAAGAAUGGGAAGUCGUAGGGCAGAACAAUGAUUUCCAGUGGAUGCAGAUAGCUGAACCUGUUAUGAAACAGUAUACAGAAGCUACAGAUGGGUCUUCCAUUGAAACAAAAGAGAGUGCUGUUGUUUGGCAUUAUCGAGAUGCAGAUCUUGGUUUUGGGUCUUGCCAAGCUAAAGAGAUGUUAGACCAUCUUGAGAGUGUUCUUGCAAAUGAGCCUGUUGCUGUGAAGAGUGGGCAGUUCAUUGUUGAAGUUAAGCCUCAGGGAGUUAGUAAAGGUCUAGUUGCAGAGAAAAUUUUUGCAACAAUGGCUGAGAGUGGCCGGCAGGCUGACUUUGUGCUGUGCGUAGGUGAUGAUAGGUCUGACGAGGACAUGUUUGAGAUUAUUGGAAAUGCAAUAAAUAGUGGUAUACUUUCUUCAAGCACGGAAGUGUAUGCUUGCACAGUGGGACAAAAGCCAAGUAAAGCCACAUAUUAUCUUGAUGACACCGCAGAAGUUAGAACCAUGCUUCAUGCUCUUGCCGAGGAAUCCAUUCCUCCUCCUCCAUCAGAAAUUGUAACAUGAAGCUCUGUUUGGAGUAUAUCCUUUUCUGUACUUCUCUGAGUGCACACCACAAUGACUCAACCCUUUGAAG